UCUCCAGUGAAGAAGUUAUAAGAAAAGGUGAAGUUCUCCAAAUGGGGCAACUUGCAUAUACUGCGUGGAAUACUCCCAGAGAGCAUGUUAUGAGCCACAUUGAGCUGCUCAAGUCCAACAAUACGCCGUUCAUACCUCCAAAUGUGUCGGGCAAUGGACCCAUUAACUGGUUAAAGCUCACAUCGAAAACAUUCAGGUCCUUGAGCCUACCAAUCUCAGGUGGCAAGCAAGACUUUAGAUUAUUAUUCAAGAGGAUGAUUUCGUUAAGAUUUGUCAUGUUACCCAAGCUUGAAGG
rnacentral:misc_RNA from 1 species